GACGAACCGUACGAACGUUAUUCGGAAUUACUGGGCUUAAAGGGUUUGUAGGCGGCCUUGUAAGUCAGGUGUGAAAGCCCUCGGCUCAACCGAGGAACAGCGCUUGAUACUGCAAGGCUUGAGGGAGACAGGGGUAAGCGGAACUGAUGGUGGAGCGGUGAAAUGCGUUGAUAUCAUCAGGAACACCGGUGGCGAAAGCGGCUUACUGGGUCUCUUCUGACGCUGAGGUACGAAAGCGUGGGGAGCAAACAGG
rnacentral:rRNA from 1 species